rnacentral:rRNA from 1 species
UACGUAGGGUGCAAGCGUUAAUCGGAAUUACUGGGCGUAAAGCGUGCGCAGGCGGUUUUGUAAGACCGAUGUGAAAUCCCCGGGCUUAACCUGGGAACUGCAUUGGUGACUGCAAGGCUUGAGUGUGUCAGAGGGAGGUGGAAUUCCGCGUGUAGCAGUGAAAUGCGUAGAGAUGUGGAGGAACACCGAUGGCGAAGGCAGCCCCCUGGGUCAAGAUUGACGCUCAUGCACGAAAGCGUGGGGAGCAAACAGG